GACGAACCGUGCGAACGUUGUUCGGAAUCACUGGGCUUAAAGGGCGCGUAGGCGGGUUCGCAAGUCCGGGGUGAAAUCUUUCAGCUUAACUGGAAAAGUGCCCCUGAUACUGCGAGUCUCGAGGGAGGUAGGGGCAUGUGGAACUUCCGGUGGAGCGGUGAAAUGCGUAGAUAUCGGAAGGAACGCCGGUGGCGAAAGCGACGUGCUGGACCUCUUCUGACGCUGAGGUGCGAAAGCUAGGGGAGCAAACGGG
rnacentral:rRNA from 1 species